rnacentral:rRNA from 1 species
UACGUAGGGGGCUAGCGUUGUCCGGAUUUAUUGGGCGUAAAGAGCGUGUAGGCGGCCAGGUAGGUCUGCUGUGAAAACUCGAGGCUCAACCUCGAGACGUCGGCGGAAACCAUCUGGCUAGAGUCCGGAAGAGGAGAGUGGAAUUCCUGGUGUAGCGGUGAAAUGCGCAGAUAUCAGGAAGAACACCCGUGACGAAGGCGGCUCUCUGGGACGGUACUGACGCUGAGACGCGAAAGCGUGGGGAGCGAACAGG